rnacentral:rRNA from 1 species
CCCCUGGCGGCGUCCUACCAUGCAGUCGACGCGAAAGGGGCUUCGGCCCUGAGUAGAGUGGCAAACGGGUGAGUAACGCGUGGGUGACCUGCCCUUGAGUGGGGGAUAACGUUCCGAAAGGGGCGCUAAUACCGCAUAACAUCCUGCUCUUAGAGAGGUGGCGAUCAAAGCUGGGGACCGCAAGGCCUGGCGCUUGAGGAGGGGCCCGCGUCCGAUUAGCUAGUUGGUAGGGUAAUGGCCUACCAAGGCGACGAUCGGUAGCCGGCCUGAGAGGGCGGACGGCCACACUGGGACUGAGACACGGCCCAGACUCCUACGGGAGGCAGCAGUGGGGAAUUGUUCGCAAUGGGCGCAAGCCUGACGACGCAACGCCGCGUGGAGGAUGAAGGUCUUCGGAUUGUAAACUCCUGUUGACCGGGAAGAAUUCCCCUGGGGUUAACACCCCUGGAGGUUGACGGUACCGGUUGAGGAAGCCCCGGCUAACUCUGUGCCAGCAGCCGCGGUAAUACAGAGGGGGCGAGCGUUGUUCGGAAUUACUGGGUGUAAAGGGCGCGUAGGCGGCCGACUAAGUCAGACGUGAAAUCCCCUGGCUCAACCAGGGAACUGCGUCUGAUACUGGCUGGCUUGAAUCCGGGAGAGGGAUGUGGAAUUCCAGGUGUAGCGGUGAAAUGCGUAGAUAUCUGGAGGAACACCGGUGGCGAAGGCGGCAUCCUGGACCGGUAUUGACGCUGAUGCGCGAAAGCCAGGGGAGCAAACGGGAUUAGAUACCCCGGUAGUCCUGGCCCUAAACGAUGAAUGCUUGGUGUGGCGGGUAUCGAUCCCUGCCGUGCCGAAGCUAACGCAUUAAGCAUUCCGCCUGGGGAGUACGGUCGCAAGGCUGAAACUCAAGGAAUUGACGG